AGGAACAGGACCGUCAGGAUGGGCAUCAGUGACUGAGGCCCCAAAACACAAUGGGGCAGGGGGCUGUUAGCAAAGUACCCACGUGCCUUUUGCGUUUGAAGAAAGCUUUUCUCGUGCAAGUGGUAUGGAGCACGCAUGCCUCAGCCACAAGCAUGGAUACCGACAGAACCCGGCACCCCGCCCCGCAUGUGGACCGGAGGGAGAGGAGCCCCUCCCAACAGCAACGCAGCCCUCAAGGCCCUGGGACUUGAAGGCCCGGACUGUCCCGAUCCUGCCGACCGAAUAGCUGAGGAGUGGACGCCUUUCGUGCUGCUGGAACUCCAGGACCGGGGGGCGGAGCUUGCCAAGCCGUGGCCGAGAGAGGAAAUCCGGGCUUGCCAUCGGAACUGCCUGCCUGAUCAGGCUGACUGAGAAGUCAGCAUCGUGCUCACCACACCACCUCCGGAAGGGUGGUUUGGGGGUGUGUUUGGAGGUGUAUCCCUGAAGUGGACAGUCCCGGCCUUUGUGUAAACCUUUGCCCUCUGGCCUCCAUGUGCCCUACGCAUUCUUUGGAGCCGGGACACACGAGAGCAUCUUGUUCUGCGGGGGUUGUGUUGGGGGCUGUCAUUGUUUCUCAGUGGGGGUGGGUUAGUGCGGUUUCUUCAGUUCAGAUGCAGAGGGCAGGCCUCGUCUCAAGCCGGCGCGGCCCCCGCAGCGCAGGGCUUUUUCACUGGCACACGAAGGCUUUUCAGGAACGCUGCGAGACCAGGUUUUUGUUCCUGCUUCUAGGCUCACGAGGAUUAUUCUGCUUCGUUUGCACAAGCCUGGGAUUGGGUCUCUGUCGGUGCUGAGAUUAGUGAGUCCAGCCCUGAGGCCUUACAGUGAAGCACUCCGAGGCUGAAGGCCACCCUGACGACAAGGCUGGAAAAAUGUCAAGUCUUCAGAAACAACCUAGGAAUAAGCUGAUGGAAACACCCUG